GAUGAACGCUGGCGGCGUGCCUAAUACAUGCAAGUCGAGCGAACGGACGAGAAGCUUGCUUUUCUGAUGUUAGCGGCGGACGGGUGAGUAACACGUGGAUAACCUACCUAUAAGACUGGGAUAACUUCGGGAAACCGGAGCUAAUACCGGAUAAUAUUUUGAACCGCAUGGUUCAAAAGUGAAAGACGGUCUUGCUGUCACUUAUAGAUGGAUCCGCGCUGCAUUAGCUAGUUGGUAAGGUAACGGCUUACCAAGGCAACGAUGCAUAGCCGACCUGAGAGGGUGAUCGGCCCCACUGGAACUGAGACACGGUCCAGACUCCUACGGGAGGCAGCAGUAGGGAAUCUUCCGCAAUGGGCGAAAGCCUGACGGAGCAACGCCGCGUGAGUGAUGAAGGUCUUCGGAUCGUAAAACUCCGUUAUUAGGGAAGAACAUAUGUGUAAGUAACUGUGCACAUCUUGACGGUACCUAAUCAGAAAGCCACGGCUAACUACGUG
rnacentral:rRNA from 1 species